UUAGAAGGGUAUAAUGGUCAAUUUGGGGAACUUUCCAAGCCCAUAAAUACCCCAAUUAUCAUAUUUCUGUAUUACAGCGAGCCCUAACCCUAGAAUUCGACCAUGUCUAGCAAGCAAGGAGGCAAAGCUAAGCCCCUGAAGCAGCCUAAGGCUGAGAAGAAGGAAUACGACGAGACGGACAUGGCUAACAUUCAAAAGAAGAAGGAAGAAGAGAAGGCUCUUAAGGAGCUAAGGGCAAAGGCUCAGCAGAAAGGAUCAUUUGGAGGUUCUGGCUUGAAGAAAAGUGGCAAGAAAUGAGACCUGAUUUUUGUGUUGAAUUGGAUUGGUACCUUUCGAACGUGCCAUCUUUUUGCUGAUUGAUGUUUGGUAACCUGUAAACUUUGCAGGAUUCUAUUAUGUAAUAUUGAUUGCAUAUGGCAAUGUCAUUUUGCCUUGAAUGUGGAUUUCUAAAAAAUCGUGUUUGCUUUUA